rnacentral:rRNA from 1 species
ACACUCCUACGGGAGGCAGCAGUGGGGAAUUUUGGACAAUGGGCGAAAGCCUGAUCCAGCAAUGCCGCGUGAGUGAAGAAGGCCUUCUGGUUGUAAAGCUCUUUUGUCAGGGAAGAAACGGUGAGAGCUAAUAUCUUUUGCUAAUGACGGUACCUGAAGAAUAAGCACCGGCUAACUACGUGCCAGCAGCCGCGGUAAUACGUAGGGUGCAAGCGUUAAUCGGAAUUACUGGGCGUAAAGCGUGCGCAGGCGGUUUUGUAAGUCUGAUGUGAAAUCCCCGGGCUCAACCUGGGAAUUGCAUUGGAGACUGCAAGGCUAGAAUCUGGCAGAGGGGGGUAGAAUUCCACGUGUAGCAGUGAAAUGCGUAGAUAUGUGGAGGAACACCGAUGGCGAAGGCAGCCCCCUGGGUCAAGAUUGACGCUCAUGCACGAAAGCGUGGGGAGCAAACAGGAUUAGAAACCCUGGUAGUCCCAUGA